rnacentral:rRNA from 1 species
GACCAGCCAUGCCGCGUGCAGGAUGACUGCCCUAUGGGUUGUAAACUGCUUUUGUCCAGGAAUAAACCUAUCUACGUGUAKAUAGCUGAAUGUACUGGAAGAAUAAGGAUCGGCUAACUCCGUGCCAGCAGCCGCGGUAAUACGGAGGAUCCGAGCGUUAUCCGGAUUUAUUGGGUUUAAAGGGUGCGUAGGCGGCCUAUUAAGUCAGGGGUGAAAUACGGUGGCUCAACCAUCGCAGUGCCUUUGAUACUGAUGGGCUUGAAUCCAUUUGAAGUGGGCGGAAUAAGACAAGUAGCGGUGAAAUGCAUAGAUAUGUCUUAGAACUCCGAUUGCGAAGGCAGCUCACUAAGCUGGUAUUGACGCUGAUGCACGAAAGCGUGGGGAUCGAACAGGAUUAGAUACCCUG